rnacentral:rRNA from 1 species
GACGAACGCUGGCGGCGUGCCUAAUACAUGCAAGUAGAACGCUAAAGGAGGAGCUUGCUUCUCUGGAUGAGUUGCGAACGGGUGAGUAACGCGUAGGUAACCUGCCUGGUAGCGGGGGAUAACUAUUGGAAACGAUAGCUAAUACCGCAUAAUAACAGUUGUUGCAUGACAACUGUUUGAAAGGUGCAAUUGCAUCACUACCAGAUGGACCUGCGUUGUAUUAGCUAGUUGGUGGGGUAACGGCUCACCAAGGCGACGAUACAUAGCCGACCUGAGAGGGUGAUCGGCCACACUGGGACUGAGACACGGCCCAGACUCCUACGGGAGGCAGCAGUAGGGAAUCUUCGGCAAUGGACGAAAGUCUGACCGAGCAACGCCGCGUGAGUGAAGAAGGUUUUCGGAUCGUAAAGCUCUGUUGUAAGAGAAGAACGAGUGUGAGAGUGGAAAGUUCACACUGUGACG